rnacentral:rRNA from 1 species
AACGUAGGUGGCGAGCGUUAUCCGGAUUUACUGGGCGUAAAGGGUGUGCAGGCGGGCUGUUAAGUGGUGUAUGAAAUCGCCGGGCUCAACCGGGCGAGGUUAUGCCAGACUGGCAGUCUAGAGAGCGAGAGAGGGACGUGGAAUUCCGGGUGUAGUGGUGAAAUGCGUAGAGAUCCGGAGGAACGCCGGUGGCGCAAGCGGCCACCUGGGUCUGACCUGACGCUGAGGUGCGAAAGCGUGGGGAGCAAACCGG